UACGUAGGGGGCAAGCGUUGUCCGGAUUUACUGGGCGUAAAGGGAGCGUAGGCGGACUUUUAAGUGAGAUGUGAAAUACCCGGGCUCAACCUUAAAAUUGCAGUUGAUACUGGCGUCCUUGAGUGCGGUUGAGGUGUGCGGAAUUCGUGGUGUAGCGGUGAAAUGCUUAGAUAUCACGAAGAACUCCGAUUGCGAAGGCAGCACACUAAUCCGUAACUGACGUUCAUGCUCGAAAGUGUGGGUAUCAAACAGG
rnacentral:rRNA from 1 species